rnacentral:lncRNA from 1 species
AUGAGUGUGCAAGCACACUCAGUGGGGUAAACACUGCAAGCAGUUAUAACCAAUUGUGUAAUGAAUCAUAACAUGUUGAACUCUUAUAAUUUUUCACUUAGCUGACAUCUUGUGAGACUAGUCUCGGUCCCUUGUGGACCUAACCCCUUGUGGGCCGUUCAGCUCUUUGAUCCCUUGUGGAUCCGACCCCUUGUGGGUCCCAUUAGUUCAUAUGAAUGACGCACAACACAACAAUGAUUAUAACCAUGUAACAACUACGCUUACAGAUAAAAGUAAACCCCACCUUAAGUGAUUGAAUUCAAACCUCUUCAAGCUUGCUUCGGUUGUCCUCCUCGAGCCUUGGAUGCGCCGCUCCUAGCACUUGAAACACUUUAAACUUAGUUUCAUUACAAGCACUUAUUCUUGAAUAAGCUCUCAUUUCUUUAAACAAUAUUUUUAAUCUCUCUUGAAUAUAUUCUUGAUAAUUCUACAAUACACUUGAAGCCGAAGACCAUAUUUGAACAUUUUAUGAAUCUACAAAUUAUAAAUUCAUAGUUUCAAUUACUAGUAUAAAUUAUACUAAUCUAACUUCAUUAUAAUCAUAUAAUUUAAUUAUAUAAUAUACUAAGUUUAGAUCACCAUAAUCCUUAUAAUUUAUUUCAAUUCUUGGCUAAUAAUAUUAAAAGCAAAUGUCUUGAUUAUCUAUUUAUGUGUUCAAGGUGAAACAAUCAUCAAAAAUCUAAUUCAAAUUCCCAAAUAAAAAUUAAAAUAAGCAUAACAUAUUAAAACUCAUAUUCGACACAUAUGGAGCUACAUCUCGACGUCUAUUCCGGCCAAUUCGACCUUAGAUUUCAAGAAGAAAACCUAUGAUUAGAACGUCUACGACAUGAGCUACAAAACCCCUAAACUUAUUCUCCCUCACGGCAUCGAUUUGACGCCGGAAGGUCGACUCAAACUCGCGCGGAAACCUUCGCGCACAGACCCGACACCCUGACUUGAUUGGCUCAUAACUCCCUCGUCCGGUGUCGGAUUGACGAUCCGAAGGUACCGUUGGAAAGCCAACGACGAUAGCUUUCCAAUGGUACCUAUAUUGAUGGGGUUUGAUGACAGAAAACAGAUGAAAAACGGAUCGCAAGAUACGACCCUGCUGCUGUCAAAAACAGGGGAAAUAAAAACACAGCAAAAGUCAUGCCGGCAGCCACCACGCCGCCGGAACUACUGUUCCGGUAAUCCCUCCUCCUCACUCACACAACAGACUCCAUCCCACCAAUAUCUACUCAAGACCUUUAGCCAUCGAUUAAGAAGAACAAGAAUGGAAGAGAAGUGCAAAACCCUUUCAAAUUCAACAAGCAAAAUCGAAGAAACAAGAAUUAGGAGAAAUUACCUUGAUGGCUGCAGUAAAUCGAUGAGUGGUGAAGAUGGAGAGAAGAGAAAAGACGCAGGGGAGAGAAGAUAGGGAAAUUUCCAAAUCAUAAGCAUAUCC